rnacentral:rRNA from 1 species
ACACAUGCAAGUCGAACGGUAACAGGAAUCAGCUUGCUGAUUCGCUGACGAGUGGCGGACGGGUGAGUAAUGUCUGGGAAACUGCCUGAUGGAGGGGGAUAACUACUGGAAACGGUAGCUAAUACCGCAUAACGUCGCAAGACCAAAGAGGGGGACCUUCGGGCCUCUUGCCAUCGGAUGUGCCCAGAUGGGAUUAGCUAGUAGGUGGGGUAACGGCUCACCUAGGCGACGAUCCCUAGCUGGUCUGAGAGGAUGACCAGCCACACUGGAACUGAGACACGGUCCAGACUCCUACGGGAGGCAGCAGUGGGGGAUAUUGCACAAUGGGCGCAAGCCUGAUGCAGCCAUGCCGCGUGUAUGAAGAAGGCCUUCGGGUUGUAAAGUACUUUCAGCGGGGAGGAAGGGAGUAAAGUUAAUACCUUUGCUCAUUGACGUUACCCGCAGAAGAAGCACCGGCUAACUCCGUGCCAGCAGCCGCGGUAAUACGGAGGGUGCAAGCGUUAAUCGGAAUUACUGGGCGUAAAGCGCACGCAGGCGGUUUGUUAAGUCAGAUGUGAAAUCCCCGGGCUCAACCUGGGAACUGCAUCUGAUACUGGCAAGCUUGAGUCUCGUAGAGGGGGGUAGAAUUCCAGGUGUAGCGGUGAAAUGC